UAGCUACAACUUUUUAAAAGAUGAAUUGAAAAAUUAAACUCAAAAUGGAGUGUCCCUCUCAUAAACGCUUCUUAUGACUGAUGAAACUGAUGACGACGCACUUUCCUAAUGUCGCAAAAAACGCUUACCAAAACACCAGUUUGAGGUUGCAGUUGAAGAGUAACGAAUUUACGAUGCUCAAUCUUGCUGCUACGGAGGCGGCGUGGCUGAUGACGCAGCUGUGGUGGUGGUCGGGUCAAUGGUUCCAUCGACUUUCAACGAAGCAUGGGUUUGAUAGGAAGUCGAAGGGCGGAUUUUCAACAAAUUAGGUUAUGAACGGACAAAUUUGCGGUAACUCAAGCAUUCUAAUGUUGUCGCAGAUGACGAGGAAGAUCUAUAUUAGGCAACUGUUUUAAUAAAGGUUUACUGUUGUUGCAUCUAUUUUACUGGUACAAGUUGGAAUCUCUGUAGGAGAUGAUGGUGAUAAUAAAUCUGUCCACGAACUUUCUCAUGCAGAAGAAUGGAUCAUCCAAGCUUCACUUGUAUUAGGUGUUAUCUUAAUAGUAGUAAUUAUUUAUUUUAUUAGGCGCUUUUUCAAGAAAAGGCAACAUAGGACACCAGCCAGUAUCCAACUCCCUAAUCUUCCCCCGUCCCAGGUGCCUGAAACUUCUACCAACUUCUCUAAUACUCUUCCGGAAACUUAUGUCUUACGUAGAUUACCGGAAGAGAUUUACAGACGUUUUCCGGUAGAUACUUAUUCAACCGAACGUUGUAAUGACUUCAGUCAUAUAGAUUGUAUGAUUUGUAAUUUUUCUUUUGUUGAUGGGGAGGAGCUGUGCAUCCUUCCUGUUUGCCGCCAUGUUUUUCACUCUCACUGUACUAGCUCAUGGUUUUUAAACCAUGAUUGUCGUUGUACUGUGUGCCAUGUUGAUUAUUUUGACGGUUUUAGUAAUGACUUGGUGUGAUAUAAGUUUUUGUUUGAAUUG